CUUGUAAUUGCGAUGGGGGGACGGAGAAGGCUAGGUGGGCCAGGCGACGGUUGUCCUGGUGAAAGUGCGUAGGUGGUGUUUCUAGGCAAAUCCGGAGACACAACACUGAGACACGAGACGAACGCACCACGGUGCGGAAGCCAUUGAUGCCCUGCUUCCAGGAAAAGCCUCUAAGCUUCAGAUUACAAGUCAUCGUACCCCAAACCGACACAGGUGGUCGGGUAGAGAAUACCAAGGCGCUUGAGAGAACUCGGG
rnacentral:rRNA from 1 species